UCUUGCUUGAUGAAUGUGUUAUGUAUGUGUUUUGUGUUUUUUGUUAUUGUGUGAUGUUUCGUUAGAAUAUUGUAAUAUUUGUUUUGAAUGUGAUGUUUUGUUUGAAUAUUGUAAUUUUUUUGAUGAAUGUUGAUUUUGUUUGUGAAUGUGAUGUUUCGUUGAUGAAUGUGAUUGUAAUUUUUUUUGUGUUUUUUUAUUUUGUUAUAUAUGUUUGGAUGUUUUUUUAUUAUGUUUCGUGUGUGGUUGAUGUCCUACUUAUUAUGAUAUGAAUUUUGAAUGAGUUUUUUUGUGUAUCUAUUUAUUGUAUUUGUUAUAUUGUAUUUAAUAUUCUAGUUUAUUUUGUUUUUUUGUUGAGAGAUAAUUUUACAUUUGAGGCACCCUUUUGAAUAUGUAUUGAUAUUUCAUUAUAUAUUGUAAUGUAGAACUUACUACAAGUGUAAGGCAUUAUUGUAUGGCUUGGAAAAGUUGAGUGAAUUUUUGUAAUGUACAACUCACACAAACCAUGUAAACUGAAUAUGAGGGUAAAAGAUGGGAGAUUCAACUUCUUGAAAUUGGAUCAAUAUUGAUAUUUACAAGCAUAAAGAAAUUUUAGUAGCAAAUGUAUUAUUUUAAUUAGAAAUUGUUGUUUGAAUGAUAUUGUACUAAUGCGAUAUAAGUUUGAAUUUUUUUUUAAAAAUAUGUUGCAAGUUGUAUUGAUUCUUAGUAAGCUUGCUAACUUAAAUUUUUGUUUGAGAACACAUGUUUGACAAAAGUAGCAUCCUUUCUUGAAGAGAAAAAAGGGAGGUAGUAAGAAUGUAGUGGGAUUUGAAUUUUGUCAUAGAUUUGUGUAGAAAAAGAACACCAAGCAUGUAUAGACGUAGAAGAGUGC
rnacentral:lncRNA from 1 species